CAAGAUAUUGUUUUGGAGAUGCUCCACAUCAAAUGUUGGUUGUUUUGAAAACUUUACCAAAACUAUGUUGCAAGUUAGGCCGGUCUUUCUCCAUUUCUCCACCGUGGCUGCACCCCCUUUCUCUCCACCAUGGACCAGCCCUCUCCCACCAACACCAAGUCCACAACCGGCCCUCCUCUCCUUUCUACCAAAAGUAGCAUCAUGCAACUCUUCUCUGUCUCUUUACACGUGAAACAACCACCCAUAUCAGGCCAUGUAUUCUCUGUGAGCUCCACGCCUCCUCUCUUCCCAUCCACCGGCUCCCCUCUCUUCUAAAUCAGCAGCAGCAACCCUACCUAACCACCUCCAUCUCCCCUCCUCAGCGCCGCCACCAUCUCUGCUCCCUUCCAAAAACCCCACUGAGAACCACCGUCGCUGCCGCCGCCCGCCGCCGUCACCAUGGCCUCCGUCGACCUCACCUGAGCCGUGGAAUGGCAUCCUCUCUUCCUCCUCUACGACCUGGACGUCGUCACGGAGCAGGGAGCACCAAGGCCAGCUCGCCAAGAACGCCAUCUACCUCGUCUACCUCUCCCGGCCACCUCGUCGUCCUCGACGCCGGCGACCCUCCUCUGCCUCCCUUCUCGUCACCGACCACCCCAGAACACCGACGCAGAGCAGUACGAGCAGGAGUACGAGUUCCCUCUGGAGGAUCGUGUCGGUGCUUCUACCUCUGAUCUGACAGGCGAGCCCACCCCUUCACCUAUUUUACAUUUUCAUGCUCUUUUGAUCUAUUGAUAUCCCUAUGUUGCGAUUCUGUUGUGUCACGUGUCCUACUCCACCUGUUACCCUAUAUUACCGAAUUACACCUCCUCGCCCUACCCAUUGUUUGUUGUUUGCCAGCUUCGCGAGUCGUAGGCGAGUUUAGGGUUUUUGUUGAUAUCUCGAAAUGUUCUGGAUAUCUACUUGGGUAGUUGUUUACUUGCUA